rnacentral:lncRNA from 1 species
GAAGAUCUCAAACACUACAUUAAUCAAUAUAUAAAUAACAAAACAAAAACAAAAAAGAUUCAAGGCAUACACUUACAAUGAACUUUGAAAAAGAAAUAUGUAUCAAGUACUACAUUAACUAAUAAAGCAAUCUCUUAAAGGUCGACUACUGGAAAUGAAUUAUACAAUAUCUGAUGUACUCUAUCAUGAAUAACACUUUAAAACAUAUUAUAGUACUAAAGGUAGUAUACGGUAGAAACCCAAUUUGUUAUCCCCUUGGGCCUUAGCACCCUUCACAUCAAUCUCCUAAUUUUGCAACUGAUCCAUUUUCGGCAGCUUGACCACCCUAUUAAUCUAAGCAACAUGUGAGAUUUCCUUGUUCAGAUCAUCAAAAACUUCUGAAGGUUUUUGGGUCUUAAGUUCCCUAAUUGUUGUUUUGCCUUUCCAUACCUGCAAUUGAGACCAACAAAGAUGCAUUAUUUAUUAUAGUCUGCUCCUAAUUUAAAAAAAAAAAAAAUUAUUUAUGCCAGCUGCAGUUAGAUAAUAUUAGAUGAGUACUAUAAAGUUGGAGGGGUUUAAAUAUGUGAAAGCGGGAUAUUGAAAGAGAGAAAUCUAAUUUUCUCAAGGAUCAUGCUCACCCUUUAGAAUGAUGACUUAUUCACCUAGCAAUCUUGAAAAAAUCAGCACUCGUAACGGAUAAAAAUUAUUGAAGUACUUGACAAACAAACUUUUAAAAUAAAUAGAAACAUGGCUACUAGAGAAAUACUUAUAAAUUAAUUCUACAAUUUCAUUUAUUAGAAUGGAAUUCAGAAGUAUGAGUAAAAAGUUUUCACAUGAACUAACUUACUACUGUUGCCGUAUAUGAGAUAAGGUGCAGAUCCAGAUGAAAAUAUUCAGGUGCUCCGGUAGAUUUUAGAUCAUACUAACUAGUUUAACUACCAGUUUUCUUUUCCACCUUCACUCAUCGCUACUGUUUGCUUUACUCAUCAU